rnacentral:rRNA from 1 species
CCUACGGGAGGCAGCAGUGAGGAAUAUUGGUCAAUGGCCGAGAGGCUGAACCCGCCAAGUCGCGUGAGGGAAGAAUGUCCUCUGGAUUGUAAACCUCUUUUGUCAGGGAGCAAAGUCACCCACGUGUGGGUGUUGGAGAGUACCUGAAGAAAAAGCAUCGGCUAACUCCGUGCCAGCAGCCGCGGUAAUACGGAGGAUGCGAGCGUUAUCCGGAUUUAUUGGGUUUAAAGGGAGCGUAGAUGGGUUGUUAAGUCAGUUGUGAAAGUUUGCGGCUCAACCGUAAAAUUGCAAUUGAUACUGGCAGUCUUGAGUACAGUUGAGGUAGGCGGAAUUCGUGGUGUAGCGGUGAAAUGCUUAGAUAUCACGAAGAACUCCGAUUGCGAAGGCAGCUUACUAAACUGCCACUGACAUUGAUGCUCGAAAGCGUGGGUAGCAAACAGGAUUAGAUACCCGGGUAGUC